UCAGCCACUCCCCCACCCCAAAUCCCCUUCUACUAGAGUCUAGUCACCUGCCUCUCCCUCCAUGAGGGCCCCUCCCAUCCAUCCUAAAUUGACACAAAGUGCCCACCUGUUGUUUUCUUCGCCCAAAUCACAAAUCACUAGACCUUAAGAAACUUCAGAAACAAUCCCCUUUAGUCUUCUCACAUGAAAUGGUGAAACUGAGGGCAGUGAGAACAAGGGGCUUGCCUAAGGGAAUGGUGUGAUUUGUGCUAGAAGUCAGGUUUUCCGACUCCUAACCCAGUGCUUCAGUCGUUUUCACAGAUAUGUACCACCCCCUUCUAAUGUUCCCGAGCCUUCAUUCUGAACCUGUGCCUCCUGUUCCAACCAGAUCUUGGAACCAAAAUCUAUUCCCAAUCAUUUCUCCUUCAGCUCCUAUCCCCCGCCUCAAUCUACUUUUAAAAAACAUCUACAGAGUAUUGGCUGUGUGUCAGCACUUUUAAAUGGGUUAUUGUCCUUAAUCCUCCGGCAACUGUUCUGUUAGGGGCUCAGGGAGGCGCACUUUCUGGCCCAGCGUCUUAGAGUUGGCAGGCGUUUGAACGAAGAGUCAGUCCUUAGCAUACAUAACUCCAAGCCCAGGCCCUUGUCGCUGCCCCACAGUUGCCUCCUUGGUUUGCCCACCUCCUAACCCCAGAUAUUCAGUUCGGCCCCUAUCCUGAACCCAUCAUCCGCCCCGAGGCAAGUAUCAUCCACUCCCAGAUCUGUAGAAAGGAGCCAGUCCCCACCCCUCAGCCGAACCUCCUUCCUCUCCACCGCCCCGCCUCCUCGGCUUCCUAGUUCAAAAGCAGCCAAGCCAAAACAAGUGUUCAAACAGCCCUGUGCUCGUCUCCAAAAGCUACUAAGCAAGACAGCCUCCAAGAUCCUCCCAAGAUGAAGGGCCUCUUUUUCCUUCUACUCACCACCAGCCUUCUGCUGCUCAUGAUUCAGAUACAAGUAGUGUCCACACAAAACACCACCAGGAAAAGCCCCACGAAGGGUGGCGCCCCCACACUCAGCAGCCUGGGCAGCGGCAGUGUUCUCCUCCUCCUGAACAGCGCCCUCAUCCACUUCUUCCACUUCAGCUGAGGCGACAUGCCUCAGCCCAUGCCCCUGAAACAACUGCCACCACGACUAGCAAGAAGGACCCCUCUCCCUCUAAUCCUUGGGACGUGUUGAUGCCAGAGAUCACCAGGUUGUCGGAACUAACAGGGCAGUGUCUUGGGAGCAAUGGUUAAAACAUGGCGAUCCUGAGCGGAGGAACACGCACCUCACAGCUGGAGAUCAAUAAAGUUAUCUUUGUACUUGGA